UACGAAGGGGGCUAGCGUUGCUCGGAAUCACUGGGCGUAAAGCGCACGUAGGCGGAUUGUUAAGUCAGGGGUGAAAUCCUGGAGCUCAACUCCAGAACUGCCUUUGAUACUGGCGAUCUUGAGUCCGGGAGAGGUGAGUGGAAUUCCUAGUGUAGAGGUGAAAUUCGUAGAUAUUAGGAAGAACACCAGUGGCGAAGGCGGCU
rnacentral:rRNA from 1 species